UAAUGUACAAAAUUGUAAAAGAACAAAACAAACAAACAAAACCUCCAAACAAGGAGGUUAUUAUUGUAAGUUCAGUUUGUGUUUUUUGUAGAGGGAAUGUCUCCAGUUAGGUAUUAUAGAUGGAAGUGGAGAUAAAAUCGUAAGACAAAGUAGUAUGGACAAAAGACACAUUGGAGGACUAUUUCUUGGCUCAUUCAUUCACGCGGUUGGUCAGACCAAUGAACUGUUUGUUAAGUGAGCACCUUCUGUGUUUGUUUUCAGCAGAGGAGACCAUGGGAGGUGGAAGUAAGAGUGACUAAGAUUUAUGAGGGAGGGAAAAGCCAGGUCACUGGGCCACAUAAGAAAAGAGCCGCCAAAGACAGGUAUAAUCCAAAGACAGGUCCCUGGUCCCCCAGCCUGGACGGUUCUAUCAAUAGGUGAAUCCUGGACAGGCGUGAACUCCACUGGUCCUGGGGGUGGAAUUGCUUAGGUGUAGCUUUGGCUGGUGCGUAGUAAUUUCCAAGUGGCAUUACUUACGUUCUGGGAAACCUAGCAAGUGAUAAAGUAGCUGUACUAGCGAAGAAGCAUUGAUAUUCGUAAUGUCAAAGCUAGCGGAGCCAUUGUCUUCUUAGCGUAGUCAGCAGCGCGUCAGUCUCCUAAUCUGAAGGUCAUGAGUUCAAACCUCAGAAAGGGCACACUUUUGAAGUUCUCUCUCUCCCCCAACAAACAAAUCAAACAUUCUCCCAGACAAAUCACGCAAUACUAACGCUGUGUCUUACCAGACGGUACGAAAAUCACUUGCUUCUUUUCAGCUUCCCAGUGGAAAUGGGUGGUGGACAGAUUUAGAUUACACCGCAACCUGCUAGCUGUCUGAUAGAAUUGGUCUUCCUGUAGCUCGCACUGGACGCAGGGGAAAUUUCUAUUCCGACUUCAUGCUCUAAACGGCACCCAGCCAAAAUUAGCAGUGGACAGAGUGCUUCAUUUCUUUAAUCAUACAACCAAUAUUUCUAGAGCACAUAUCUUCUUAGGUGACUGUUUGGGCAGCGAUUCAAGAGGGAAUAAAACGCAAAUAUUCCCGCCCUCGUGAAAUUACAUCCUACUUGGGAGGAGUAGGGAGAAACAGGAAGCAAACAAGAAAAAUGCAUAGAAGUUAUGUGACCAAAUCUAUUGUGAGGGAAUCAUUAGGUAACAAAGGUGUCGGCGGUGUCCAACUGACACAUUCAGCUUUCAGGGGAAAGUCAGGGAGGUGGUCACCUGGGAGACAUCAUUUAGCCUCCUCUUCCUCCAGUCGUCUUGCUGGUCCACUUGUGUCCUAAGCUUUCUGUUACAACACUCUCAUGAGAGUAACUGUUACCUGUCAAAGCAACUGGGGGCUAUGAGAGCUUUUUCCAUGUGAGGCUACUUGGCUUGGUUGGAUAAAUGAUGGUACACGAGGACUGGGAUGGAUCCCAGUAUCUGCCUAUGCCAACUUUAUAUAGAGAUCAGGGCCAUAUUUGGAAGGGAUCAUGGUGCAGAUGUGAGGCGCUAAGAGGCCACCCCACCUCUUCCAACUGCCUGGCCAUAUUUCCAAAAGAAGUGUGGUUAUGUGACUUCUACACGACACACCUCAGCAACAAUGGAACACACAUCUCCGAUGUAAGGAACAGAAGCGCUGCCCCGAGAGUUUCCGUAGUGUAGCGGUCAUCCCGCUGGCCUUCUGCCCAAGAGGUCCUCAUUCGAAACUAGCACGAGCUUUUUGCCUUCCAGAAAUAGCCACCACCACCACCUCCCGGUUCCCACCUCCUCCUAGGUGGUCCCAGCUACGUGGAACGAGUGAUAACCCUCACCCCCUUCUUCAGAUAAAAUCAUGGAAUCAUCCUGCGAUAUCCGUACCUCAUUAGCUGGGCAGUUCUGGGUGGGUCCUCCUAAGCGGAGGCAUUUCUUACGUUCCGGAAUAUCCGAAACUUGACAAGUUGGCGGCGCCAGAGUUUUCCCUUGUUACCUCUUCUCUCCCUCCCUCCCAGACAACAGGCGGCCACUGCGCUCUUGCCCUGGGCAGGCAGGAAGAUCCGCUCUUCGUGGAGCCCUGGUUUCACGCUACAAAUCGUAAAAUGCGCCGUAGUUUAGGUAUCCCACGAGCGACUAAGACGGGCGCCGCGGGCCGGGGAAUUAGCUCAAGUGGUAGAGCGCUCGCUUAGCAUGCGAGAGGUAGUGGGAUCGACGCCCACAUUCUCCAAGCUUUUUCGCUGUUCGAAUCUCGGCUCUCCGAGCGACAAGGAGCACCCUUCAACCUCUCGGAAAGGACGACAAAAUGCACACCCAAGGCCGUUGUAAUUUGGACGCUGAUGUGGUUCGUGACGUAUGGACACCAGCAGUACAGGCUGCCCAGGGCUCUACUGCCAUUCGGCAUAGUAUAGAUCUAUCAAUUUAUAAUUUUUCUUUCUUCCAGCGCUGGCGAUACCACGCGACUUCCCCAUUGCUCUUUCGCUCAGUUUCCUCCUGCAGCUUGGUCCUAAGAGAGCCACGGUCCUGAAAAUCACAGGGCACAGCUACCGGUAAAUAAAGCCCCCGCUCUCUGGUCAGGGGACUGAGACCCGGAGUCCCAGGUAGCCAGAACCUGCCGGGAAAGCAAACCCAGGAAGUUGUCUGUGAGCUCCUGGGCGUACCCAAGAGCUGGGAAGAAGAAGUGGCUCUGGUUAAACGACCGACCUAAAGAGAGCUUGAGAACCGAACUAAGUGACAGCUCGCUCCCCAGUGCACACAGGGGCCACACUCUGGAGAUCUCAAACAUUAUAGUUUGUAAAGGCUUUGAGAAUGGUAUCGACUUUGAAAUCACAGCGCACAGGAGGCUGGUCCCUACUUGGAACUUGAACACAGGGCAGUCAGGUGCCUACAGAAACAAAAGAGCAAUACAAUAUACCCCUAAGGAUUUCGGCCAGACACAGAGUCAUCACACAGUACAAAAAUGUCAGGGUUAUAAUCCAAGGUUUUUCAGCACACGAGGAACAAGUAAAAUCUUAAUUCAUUUGGGAAAGAGAAUCCACGGAUAACAAUACUGAAACGACACAGAUGUUGGAAUCAUCUGACAAACACUUUAAAGCAGUUAUUAUAACAAUGCUCCAAAAAUUAGGGGUAAUACCCUUGAAGUGAAUGGAAAGUUAGAAUGUCUUAGUAAAUAGCUGGAAGAUAUAAACACGGAUUUUAAACUUAAAAAGAAAAAAUGCAUUUGCCAGAACUGUUGGGGGGAAAAACUUCAUUGGAUGGUCUCGCUUGCAGAAUGGAGAUAACUGAGGAAAAAGUCAGUGAACUUGAAAAUAAAACAAUAAUACCUAGAUAAUCUCAACGACCGAGAGAAAGGGUUUUCUUUUCAAAUGAACACAGCCUUGGGGACAAAUAGAAAAAUAACAAAAACCUAUUGUUCACAUCGUCAUAAUCCCAGAAGAAGGGGAGAAAGAGAUCCUUGCGGGGAAAAUACUUUGAAGAAUUCAUGGUUGAAAACAUACCAAAUUUGUGAAAAGACAUAAACCAGAUUAAACAAGUUCAGCAAACCUCAAGCAGGAUAAACUUAAAGAAAUCAAUACCCACACACAUCAUAAUGAAACUACUGACAACUAAGGGGAUAAAAUCAUCAAAGCUGCUGAAGAAAAUGAAUGAGAAACUACAAUUUGUAUAAUUGUGGCUUUCUGAUCUGAAACCAUAGGGGCCAGAAAGAAAUGUCAUAACAUUUAUUAAAUGCUAAAAGAAAAGACCUGUAA